rnacentral:rRNA from 1 species
UGGGGAAUAUUGCACAAUGGGCGCAAGCCUGAUGCAGCCAUGCCGCGUGUAUGAAGAAGGCCUUCGGGUUGUAAAGUACUUUCAGUCGGGAGGAAGGUGUCAAGGUUAAUAACCUUGGCAAUUGACGUUACCGACAGAAGUAGCACCGGCUAACUCCGUGCCAGCAGCCGCGGUAAUACGGAGGGUGCAAGCGUUAAUCGGAAUUACUGGGCGUAAAGCGCACGCAGGCGGUUGAUUGAGUCAGAUGUGAAAUCCCCGGGCUUAACCCGGGAAUUGCAUCUGAUACUGGUCAGCUAGAGUCUUGUAGAGGGGGGUAGAAUUCCAUGUGUAGCGGUGAAAUGCGUAGAGAUGUGGAGGAAUACCGGUGGCGAAGGCGGCCCCCUGGACAAAGACUGACGCUCAGGUGCGAAAGCGUGGGGAGCAAACAGG